rnacentral:SRP_RNA from 1 species
GCCAGGUGUGGUGGUGUGCACUUGUAGUCCCAGCCACUUGGGAGGCUGAGGCAGGAGGAUUGCUUGAGCCCAGGAGUUCGAGGCUGCAGUGAGCUGUGAUCAUGUCACUGCACUCCAGCCUGGGCAAGAGAGCAAGACCUCACCUCAA